UACGUAGGGAGCAAGCGUUGUCCGGAUUUAUUGGGCGUAAAGAGCUCGUAGGCGGUUAAGAAAGUCAGGUGUGAAACCUCCAGGCUCAACCUGGAGACGCCACUUGAUACUUCUUUGACUGGAGUUCGGUAGGGGAUCACGGAAUUCCUGGUGUAGCGGUGAAAUGCGUAGAUAUCGGGAGGAACACCAGUGGCGAAGGCGACUAUCUGGGCUGAAACUGACGCUGAGGCGCGAAGGCUAGGGGAGCAAACAGG
rnacentral:rRNA from 1 species